UUGGGAACUGUCAUUUGUCUGUCACCGGGGAAGUUAAUGGAUGUGUUUGUUUAGUUUGCACAAGAAAAGCCCCUGGAAGUUCACCUGUGCCUAACAGACCUCAGCAAAGCCGCAGUGACCGCGCUCCAUCCCAAACAACGCAGAGUUUUAAAUCCCAUUCAGAAGACUGAGAAGAAGAAAGAGCAAAUGAAAGAGCAACGUACUUGUAAUUCAUUCCUUGGUGCUCAGUGAGUAAAACUUUGCCCUCCUCUCUGCUUUAGCCUGAUAUAAAUCAAGAACCCACUGAGGCCAGUAAGCUCCUCUAAGUUUACAGUUAAUGCAUAAUUCUUUAGUAUCCUGUACAGAACCAGUCUGGAAGGCAAACAAAACGCUAGCAAGUGGCCAUAAAACAAGAUUUCAGGUUAACAAUUUGCGGAGGAACUUGGUGGAAGGGGGAGGAGGAAUGCUACCUCUCCCAUCAGCAGCCCAGAAAACUUUGUGUUGCUGCUCCAGUGCCCCUCAGCCAGUCUCCGCUCUGGGUACGCGCCUUCCUCCACUCCGAGACUUCUCCGUACAGCGCUGAUUCCUCCUUUCCUCUUCUUCCCCCCGCCACCCCCGCCACGCUUUCUCCACCAACAGCCCCACUUGUUUCCGUGGGCUCCAGAGGUGCGUCCCAAAGCGCAACCGCACUUAAUUACCCAGAUUCUUGAAGAUGCCUUCGCUGCGAUACGCACGCCCGGGGAAGAUCAGGUUUACAUUAAUUACACCCCAUUCUCCUCCUAAAACUCUCACUCUCUAAACACUGUCUGGAUUCCUCACCCU